rnacentral:lncRNA from 10 species
AAAAACACAUGAGAUAUAAUUUGAUCUCAUUUAAUUGGUAAAACAAAGUCAAGAAAAACCAGAACAGUGAUCAACAGGGUUUCUAAUACAGUACUCAUUGAAGGAUAAAUUGAUACAAUCACUCUUUUCUUUUUUUGAGACCAAGUCUUGCUCCGUCACCCAGGCUGGAGUGCAGUGGUGCAAUCUCGGCUCACUGCAAGCUCCGCCUGCCGGGUUCACGCCAUUCUCCUGCCUCAGCCUCGCAGCAGCUGGGACAACAGGCACACGCCGCCACGCCCGACUAAUUUUUUUUUUUUUUUUUUUGUAUGUUUAGUAGAGACAGGGCUUCACCGUGUGAUACAAUCACUGUUUAAACAAUUUAGCAUUAUCUAUUAUGGUUGGAUAUCUAAUGAGGUUGCUAUGUUCCAGCAAUUCUUCUUCUGCUUACCCAAGAACAAUUCAUGCUUAUGUGCUCAAGAAUGAAAUUACAAGGUGAGGAUAAACAAAAUUUGGGAGUUAUCCUUGCGGGGUAGGCAGAAGGGUGAGAUAGAAGAAGAGCAUGUAAGUAGAUGCAAGUUAUUGGUAAAGCUCUUGUUCUUGGAUGGUAUGCUGAGUUUGUGGGUGCUCCCUACAUUAUUAAAAAUGAAACAAAAUAAAUAAGGGCUUUGUAGGAGCCAAUGAAAGGGGGUUUCAUGAGCCAAGGGUCAGAACUCAUUUAAUGACGAGCAUGCAGGGUCCAUAGGAGAAAAAAUAAUAAUAAUCCUUUGGCUUUUGUAAGUCAUAAGCUCUUUUUUUGCUGAGACCGGUAAGAUUUUAAAUUACAUUAAUUAUUACAAUUAUUAUCAUUAUUAUUAUUUGCUUCUCUGUGGCAACUUUUCUCUCCUAAGGCAUUGAAUGGAUUCCAUGAGGUGAAAAAAAAACCAUUGCUGGCAGCAAAACAAGCAUUUGGCUGGCAUAUGAAAAAACUAUUAAUAAUAAGAUGUGUAGAUGUACACUUUUAAGGGCUUUUCAUUUAAACAGAAUUAUGGGGUCUUCAUGAGUUAUAUAGAAUAUUAACAAAUUAACAUAUCCUACAUUUUCAGAAAGUCUGAGAUAGGUCAGUUUGCAUGAUUAGCUACUUUCUAGUCAUUUAUCUUGAGACAAAGCAGUUGUUCCCAUUUAUUAUUUGUGAAAUGUGGUUUAUGUACUAUUUGCUUAACUUCCUCACAGACAUGCAAAGAAAAAGAUUUUCAUUUUUUCAAACAAAGAUGAUGCAUUGUGAAAAGUAUCUGUGAAAGAAAAACCUGAUACCUAACCAUUUCACCCACAAAUAAAUAUUCUUUGAUAAUACAGUGUCUGGGUUAAUUUUUUUUCCCCCAAUCCAAAGUGUCAUUGGUGGGUCCCAUUGUAGCUUUUAACAACAUGAAACACAUUCUUAAACUGUAACUUAGUGCUUCUAAUGAAGGACACUUUCUUUUUUUGUGUGUUUUUGAAACAUGAUAGCAAUUUAAUAUUAAUUCUUCAAUUUGGAAAAUAUUGGAAAUAUUCUAGAAAUAUAAACAGAGGA